CUGGUGGCUAUUACACCGAACGUUACACUUCUAAAUCGAGCCUACAAGAGAGCCUGGGACUAAGCCUUGAGACAACGAGCAUUCGAUGGCCAAGUAGAAGAUGAUGAACCUGCAAAAGACUAAGAAGCUGUCAAAGAGAAUGGAUCCCUUCCAAAAGUAACAUUCUUGCCUACAUUAGUCUUACUUGGAGGACUCAUGAAUUAUUUGAGCCAGAGCACGUCAUGAAGUUGCAAUAAAGGAGCUGCACUGGUGGUUCAAGACCUUGAAACUACUCUGCCUAGGACUCCUGAUUGCUGAAUCCUUGAAAUGAUUAGUCAAGCUUGACACUGGGUAAGGUCUCUGAUUUCGGUGUAUCCGACAUGAUAGUCUAAUCCUUUGCGUAUCUCAGCCAUUAUCUUUUCCCUUCUCCAGAACAUACCUGUCUCUAGAACAAUCAACUUGUUGUUGCAUUUUUACAUGUUCUUGCAUUUUUACAUGUUCUCACUCUUUUUU
rnacentral:lncRNA from 1 species